GUGCUAACCAGUUACGUAGUGUGAAAAACAUCUCAAUAAAAAUAGUGAAAUUGAAUGAACACAAAAAUACACUUUACAAAACAAUAAUUAAAAGAAAUUCUUUCUGACACACAACAUAAUUAAUAUAAAAUUGUGAGAUUACAUUUAAAAUAUUAAAUUUCAAAAACUUGAUUAACUUAAAAGUGAGUCGUUAUGAGAUAUAAACAUAUCGUUCUCGAUGAUGCAUUGUUAAUUACAACUAUUAGCUUACUUUUCGGACUCAUGUACUACUUCAAUCAAGACAAAUGUCCUGUUGGUACAUUUCUUUGUAAAAACAGUAUUAUAUGCAUACCACAACGUAGCUGGUGUAAUGGUGUGCCAGAAUGUCCACAUGAUGUCCGAAUGAUGAUGAGUUUACAGAAAAUUGUUAUACAAUUGCCGAGCCAGCUGAGUAUGAAAUCGUAGCCAACGACACAUGUCGUGUGACUUGUACGAAUCAUAUUGAUGUGCCGCACGAGUUGUCAUCAAACGUGACAGAGAUUUAAGUAUACUUCCAAACAGUAUCAAAAACUAAAAGACAAAGAAAAAUGUUUUAAACGAAGAAAAAUCAUUAGAAAUUAUUAUCUAAAAAAGAGAUAUUUUUUAUUUAAAAUAAAAAAAAUUUAGAUAAGGUAGGUUAUUGAGGUGUCACCUCGAGCUUUCUUUGGAAAAUCCAAUAUAAAAUUUGAAGUAAAACGGCUAUAUGGAGCCUUUGCGGGAUGUUAUGUAGUAAAGAUUUUUUGGAAACAAAAUUUUUGCCAAAACGUUUUGACUUUAUUUGAAGUCCUUAUCAAUUGAUCAAUAAAAAGAUGAUAAAAUUGUAUGAGAAUUAAAAUGUAUACGCAUCACGUUACAAUGUCACUAAGAAGUCUAAUAUAGAUACGAACUUAAUCGAGUUAAAAUAGCUGAGUAUUUUGAACGUCAUAUAAAGGUGAAUUCAGUACUGAU